rnacentral:rRNA from 1 species
UUCCAGACUCCUACGGGAGGCAGCAGUGGGGAAUAUUGGGCAAUGGGCGCAAGCCUGACCCAGCGACGCCGCGUGAAGGAAGAAGGCUUUCGGGUUGUAAACUUCUUUUAUGAGGGACGAAAGAAAUGACGGUACCUCAUGAAUAAGCCACGGCUAACUACGUGCCAGCAGCCGCGGUAAUACGUAGGUGGCAAGCGUUAUCCGGAUUUAUUGGGUUUAAAGGGUGCGUAGGCGGAAUGCCAAGUCAGCGGUAAAAUCGCGGGGCUCAACCUCGCUCCGCCGUUGAAACUGGCGCUCUUGAGUGGGCGAGAAGUAUGCGGAAUGCGUGGUGUAGCGGUGAAAUGCAUAGAUAUCACGCAGAACUCCGAUUGCGAAGGCAGCAUACCGGCGCCCAACUGACGCUGAAGCACGAAAGCGUGGGUAUCGAACAGGAUUAGAUACCCGUGUA